GACGAACGCUGGCGGCGUGCUUAACACAUGCAAGUCGAACGAAGAGCGAUGGAAGCUUGCUUCUAUCAAUCUUAGUGGCGAACGGGUGAGUAACGCGUAAUCAACCUGCCCUUCAGAGGGGGACAACAGUUGGAAACGACUGCUAAUACCGCAUACGAUCUAAUCUCGGCAUCGAGGAUAGAUGAAAGGUGGCCUCUACAUGUAAGCUAUCACUGAAGGAGGGGAUUGCGUCUGAUUAGCUAGUUGGAGGGGUAACGGCCCACCAAGGCGAUGAUCAGUAGCCGGUCUGAGAGGAUGAACGGCCACAUUGGGACUGAGACACGGCCCAGACUCCUACGGGAGGCAGCAGUGGGGAAUCUUCCGCAAUGGACGAAAGUCUGACGGAGCAACGCCGCGUGAGUGAUGACGGCCUUCGGGUUGUAAAGCUCUGUUAAUCGGGACGAAAGGCCUUCUUGCGAAUAGG
rnacentral:rRNA from 1 species